GACGAACGCUGGCGGCGUGCUUAACACAUGCAAGUCGAACGGUGAAAGCGGAGCUUGCUCCGCUGGAUCAGUGGCGAACGGGUGAGUAACACGUGGGCAACCUGCCCCUCACUUCGGGAUAACUCCGGGAAACCGGGGCUAAUACCGGAUAUGACCUCCUUGGGCAUCCUUGGAGGUGGAAAGUUUUUCGGUGAGGGAUGGGCCCGCGGCCUCUCAGCUUGUUGGUGAGGUAGUGGCUCACCAAGGAGACGACGGGUAGCCGGCCUGAGAGGGCGACCGGCCACACUGGGACUGAGACACGGCCCAGACUCCUACGGGGGGCAGCAGUGGGGAAUAUUGCGGAAUGGGCGAAAGCCUGACGCAGCAACGCCGCGUGCGGGAUGACGGCCUUCGGGUUGUAAACCGCUUUCAGCAGGGAAGAAGCCGCAAGGUGACGGUACCUGCAGAAGAAGCACCGGCUAACUACGUGCCAGCCGCCGCCGUAA
rnacentral:rRNA from 1 species